UGUUGUGUGCAGUCCCAGCAUUUUAACAGUUGCUCCGCCUCCCUAAAUGUCGGAGGAACUGUGAAUACUCAUUAAUUUUGCACCACCUCAUGAUCAAGUGGACCAAUUCUGUUCAGUUAUGGAAUAAUAUGAAAAUAAGUUGGUUACAUUUUUUGAAAAUCAUUCGCUUGUCAUUGGAUAAAAUAGAUGUUGGAACUAUAAAAUUUGAUAUAAAUAUACUUGAAGAAUUUCUAAUCUGAUAAUCACUCUGUGUGUCGCUUCUCCUGAAUCUUUGUGUAUGACCUGCGGAUAGCAUUGCUGAGGGAAUAAAGCUAAAAUGGCUUACAGUUUUAACAGUUCUACAAUUAAGAACGAGACUGAUAGAGAGGUUACUCUAAGAUGCCGGCUUAACGGAUUCACCCCUGCAAAUGAUCACGCAGAUGCUGAAGUUAUUGACAAGUAAGUUAAAUGCACCAGUACUUUAUCUAUUUAUUC